CCUACGGGUGGCUGCAGUAACGAAUCUUCCGCAAUGCACGAAAGUGUGACGGAGCGACGCCGCGUGGAGGACCAAGUCCUUCGGGAUGUAAACUCCUGUCAGGGGCAGCCAAGUCCUGAGGCGCCCCAGAGGAAGGCACGGCUAACUCUGUGCCAGCAGCCGCGGUAAGACAGAGGUGCCGAGCGUUAGGCGGAAUCACUGGGCUUAAAGCGUGUGUAGGCGGGUCGUUAAGUACCUUGUGAAAUCCCACGGCUCAACCGUGGAACCGCUGGGUGUACUGGCGAUCUUGAGAGACCUAGGGGUCACCGGAACAGGCGGUGGAGCGGUGAAAUGCGUAGAUAUCGCCUGGAACGCCGGCGGCGAAAGCGGGUGACUGGAGGUCUUCUGACGCUGAGACACGAAAGCCAGGGGAGCGAACGGGAUUAGAUACCCGAGUAGUC
rnacentral:rRNA from 1 species